GACGAACGCUGGCGGCGUGCUUAACACAUGCAAGUCGAACGGAAAGGCCCUGCUUUUGUGGGGUGCUCGAGUGGCGAACGGGUGAGUAACACGUGAGUAACCUGCCCUUGACUUUGGGAUAACUUCAGGAAACUGGGGCUAAUACCGGAUAGGAGCUCCUGCUGCAUGGUGGGGGUUGGAAAGUUUCGGCGGUUGGGGAUGGACUCGCGGCUUAUCAGCUUGUUGGUGGGGUAGUGGCUUACCAAGGCUUUGACGGGUAGCCGGCCUGAGAGGGUGACCGGCCACAUUGGGACUGAGAUACGGCCCAGACUCCUACGGGAGGCAGCAGUGGGGAAUAUUGCACAAUGGGCGGAAGCCUGAUGCAGCAACGCCGCGUGCGGGAUGACGGCCUUCGGGUUGUAAACCGCUUUCGCCUGUGACGAAGCGUGAGUGACGGUAAUGGGUAAAGAAGCACCGGCUAACUACGUGCCAGCAGCCGCGGUGAUACGUAGGGUGCGAGCGUUGUCCGGAUUUAUUGGGCGUAAAGGGCUCGUAGGUGGUUGAUCGCGUCGGAAGUGUAAUCUUGGGGCUUAACCCUGAGCGUGCUUUCGAUACGGGUUGACUUGAGGAAGGUAGGGGAGAAAUGAAAUUCCUGGUGGAGCGGUGGAAUGCGCAGAUAUCAGGAGGAACACCAGUGGCGAAGGCGGUUCUCUGGGCCUUUCCUGACGCUGAGGAGCGAAAGCGUGGGGAGCGAACAGGCUUAGAUACCCUGGUAGUCCACGCUGUAAACGGUGGGUACUAGGUGUGGGGUCCAUUCCACGGGUUCCGUGCCGUAGCUAACGCUUUAAGUACCCCGCCUGGGGAGUACGGCCGCAAGGCCAAAACUCAAAGGAAUUGACGGGGCCCCGCACAAGCGGCGGAGCAUGCGGAUUAAUUCGAUGCAACGCGUAGAACCUUACCUGGGUUUGACAUGGAUCGGGAGUGCUCAGAGAUGGGUGUGCCUCUUUUGGGGUCGGUUCACAGGUGGUGCAUGGCUGUCGUCAGCUCGUGUCGUGAGAUGUUGGGUUAAGUCCCGCAACGAGCGCAACCCUUGUUCACUGUUGCCAGCACGUUAUGGUGGGGACUCAGUGGAGACCGCCGGGGUCAACUCGGAGGAAGGUGGGGAUGACGUCAAGUCAUCAUGCCCCUUAUGUCCAGGGCUUCACGCAUGCUACAAUGGCUGGUACAGAGAGUGGCGAGCCUGUGAGGGUGAGCGAAUCUCGGAAAGCCGGUCUCAGUUCGGAUUGGGGUCUGCAACUCGACCUCAUGAAGUCGGAGUCGCUAGUAAUCGCAGAUCAGCAACGCUGCGGUGAAUACGUUCCCGGG
rnacentral:rRNA from 1 species